rnacentral:lncRNA from 10 species
UCACACUGCUGCCACUCCAGCUUAUGCAACAGAGACGGUCUCAAAAAAAAAAAAAAAAAAGCUGGGCAUGGUGGCUCACGCCUGUAGUCCCAGCACUUUGGGAGGCCAAAGUAGGUGGAUUGCUUGAGCCCAGGAGUUCGAGCCCAGCCUGGCAAGAUGGCAAAAUCCCAUCUCUACUAAAAAUACAAAAAUUACCAGGGCGUGGUGGUGCAUGUCUGUAAUCCCAGCUACUCGGGAGGGUGAGGUGGGAGGAUCAUUUGAACUAGGGAGGUCAAGGCUGCAGUGAACCGUGAUUACGCCACUGCACUCCAGCCUAGGCGAUAGAGUGAGACCCUGUCUUAAAAACCCUUGCGAAGCAGGGCUUACCUAUGGAGAGCAGGUGACCAAAGGUCUCCAGCAUCACGUCACGGUAGAGGAUCCUCUGGGUAGGGUCCAGCUGCCCCCAUUCCUCCUGGGUAAAGUCCACAGCCACAUCCCGGAAGGUCACUGGUUCCUGAAACAUCACACACAUUCUCAAUCAGCUGGACUAUCUCCAUCAGUGCUUUCUGGCAGAGGAAGAAUGGAAAAGGAGAAAACAGGCAGGCCUGUGUCACGAGAGACUGCACGUUAUGAAUGAUGGGAGUCAGGUCUCACUGGGCACCUAUUAGGCCACUACACAUAGGUGUGGGUUGUACAGUGAGGACAUGUGAGAGGACUCACCAAGAUCAACAACGCCAGGCAGAGCUGACCUACAUCUAACAAGACAGACGAGGGUACCAGCAGAGACUGGCCUAAACCACUUAUUUGCAGGUUUGUGAGCUAAAGAAACAGUUACUGUUUUAAGUAAAACAGAUACUGUUUUAGGACAGUGUUACACAGCAGCUAACUAAUACACUCACUAAUACUUAGAUACAAAGUGAAAUUGGCUGGGCCACAUGCCUGUAAUCCCAGCUACUUGGGAAGCUGAGGCAGCAGAAUCGCUUGAGCCCAGGAGGUGGAGGUUGCAGUGAGCCAAGACACCGCGACAGAGUGAGACUCCAUCUCAAAAAAAAAAAACAAAAAAACAGGUUCACCAUCCUUCCUGAAAAGAGAAGCACACAGGGCUGGGGUCAGAAAUUCGCCUGCUUUCAGGGCAAGGCAGGCUCACAUGACAGAAGUGGGCCAGUUUAAGAGCCCACAAGGACACUUACCUAUGAGUGGUGGGACUGGAGGUGAUGGGGAGCAUGGACCCUGUCUGAAGGAGCAGCAGCUCCUGGCUCAGCCUCCUGAGUAGCUAGGACUACAGGUGCACGCCACCACACCCAGCUAAUUUUUGUAUUUUUUAGUAGAGACAGGGUUUCUCCAUGUUGGCCAGGCUGGUGUCGAACUCCUGACCUCAAGUGAUCCUCUCGCCUUGUCCUCCUAAGGACGAAGUAAUUUAUAAAGAAAGUUGCUUUUUUUCUCUCUCUCUCUUUCAAUAACUUUGAUGAAGACAGUUUAUUUGUGGGCUGGGAGCGGUGGCUCAUGCCUGUAAUCCCAGCACUUUGGGAGGCCGAGGCGGGCAGAUCACGAGGUCAGGAGAUCGAGACCAUCCUGGCUAACACGAUGAAACCCUGUCUCUACUAAAAAUACAAAAAAUUAGCCGAGCGUGGUGGUGGGCGUCUGUAGUUCCAGCUACAUGGGAGGCUGAGGCAGGAGAAUGGUGUGAACCCGGGAGGCAGAGCUUGCAGUGAGUCAAGAUUGCGCCACUGCACUCCAGCCUGGGCAACAGAGUGAGACUCCGACUCAAAAAAAAAAAAAAAAAAGAGUUUAUUUCUUACAGUUCUGAAGGCUGGGAAGUCUAAUAUCAUGGUACUGGCAUCUGGUGAGGGCCUUCUUGUUAUGACAUAAGAUGGUGGAGGGCAUCACAUGGCGAGAGGGCAAGAGUGUGCCAGCUCAGGUCUCUCUCUCCUUCUAAAGCCACUAGUCCCAUCAAGGGAGUCCAAUCCUGAUAACCUUAUCUAAUCCUAAAUUUCUCCCAAAAGUCGCCACCUUCAAAUACUAUCAACACAUGAAAUUUGGGAGACACAUUC